rnacentral:lncRNA from 1 species
UGAAAUCAGUAUAAAAUAAUCAUCCCAUAUUUGCUAAAUGAUUAGAAUUAUCAAAAAAAGUACAAUUGUUGAUCAUAAAUAUUAGAAAUUGCUAUACUUCCAUUUAAUAUUAACUGCUUAUACAGAGACAAGCAGUCACCAUGUUUACUCAAUAAAAAAAAGAUCAGUCUAUGUAUUUCUGAUCUCAUUUGUAAAAUGCCCGUAAAUUAAUAUUUUUGUAUAUAUUUUAGCAUGAACAUUUACAUAUGUCCAUGUAUUUUUAAUAAUUAAAUUGGAAAGAAAUAUUUAUUAGGAAUAAAUAUGAUGGAUUGCAUCACUACCAAAGGACAAGCUAUCAGCAUGAAGAGGACAGGACAGUAUAUCACCUACAUAUUUUCUUGUCUUAUUUGCAUAGUAUCAGAUAUUUAUUUAAUUUAAUAUACAGGGCUUGGAACUUAUCAUGGGAGAUAAGUUCUAAGCUUCUUAUAGAUACUUGAAACUAUAGCAAUAGAUAGCAUUGAACAUAAUACUGUACAUACUUAUGAUAAAGUUUAAUUUAUAAAUUAGUUACAAUAAGACAUUAACAACAAUAACUAAUAAUAAAAUAGAAC